GCAGCCCUGUGUGUGUGUGUGUGUGUGUGUGUGUAUACACACACACACACACACACACACACACACCCUGAUCUUGUUU